ensembl:lncRNA
AUAUAAAUUGUCAUGAAUAAAAAUCAUUAACAUGGAUUUGACAGAUAAAGUGAACCAAGAUCAAAUGGUUGAUCAUAAAAGCGAAGGACAAGAAAAUACAACAGUAAAUGAAAUUCAAAAUGAAAGCUUAAAAGCUAUAGGUGAAGAAGAAAAGAAUGCAAGUACAUUAACAGAUAAAAAUUUAGUAGAAGUUGUUAAUGAUGUUGUAACUAGUGUUGUAAAUGAUGUUGCAAAUAAUAUUGUAAAUGAUGUUGCAAAUAAUAUUGUAAAUGAUGUUGCAAAUAAUAUUGUAAAUGAUGUUGCAAAUAAUGGUGUAAGUGGUGUAAACUUAAACACGAACGAAAAAUCAACAGAAAGUGUUGAGAUUAAAAAUAACGAGAUAAACUUGGAUAACACAAAUGAACCAACAUUUGUGAAAACAACUGCUGAAAAUAAUAGAGUUUUAAGUAAUGAACAUUUGAGUAACGAAAAAACCAUUUCAAGCUUUAAUUCUUUAGAAAAUGAAAAUAAUAACAAACCACGAAAUGGGUCAUUAUUUAUUGAAGUUAAAGGGCUUUUAGAAAUUGUUAACUCUAAAGAAUUCAUAAAAAAUAUGAAUGCAGACAAGUUAUAUAUAAGUACAAAAAAUGAAAGUAUGAAUAUUAAGAGCAAACGUUCAUUCAGUGUUCCAAAUAAAGUAAUACCAAAAAAAGCAGACACAAAAAAGUUAGUUUCCAACGUAACAGCUCCAAAAACUGCUUCCAAACAGAAUCUUAAACAAAUUAUAAGAGCACCUAAAUUAGAACAUGUCCCAAAAAAAGCUCCUUUGUUAACAAAACCACUCGAAAAAAUACCACAAACAUUAAACAAAAAUCGUAUUUACAAAAUUGAAAAUUUGGAUAAAAAAAUAGAUCCUACUAAAGCAAAAAAUGCUAUUAGAUAUUCACCUAAAAAACCGAAUGUUCUGAAAGAUUCAAAAAUUAAAUUAAAAGAACCAGUUAGAGCAAAGUUUGCACUGUCUUCAAAAACUGAUAAUGAAGGAAUUCCCCCAAAUAUGAAUCCUUUGGAAGCAAUAAAUAAAACUGCUAUGAGAUUAUCUAAUAAAAGUGUCCCUUUAUUAAAUAAACAUAAAGGUAUCAGUAUCAAAGCAGAACCACCUAAAGGCAGUUUAAAAAAUACAUUACGUUAUUUAAAAAAUGCUAUAGAAAUGAAAAAUGGUGAAACUGCAUCUGCGAAAGUAAAAACAGAUAUAAUAAAUGACAAUAAAAAUAAAAAGGAUAUUCCAUCAAAUAAUAGCAAACCUACAAUGAGAAGAAAAACUUUAUCAAAAAAUUCCACAAUUAAAGGUAUAUCUACUAAAGCAGUUAAAGGAUCAUUAGAACCGAAAUCAAGAAAUUUAUCAAAAAAAACAAUUUCCAAAACAUCAAACGAAUUAAAACUUAAAGACAAAGAAAAAAAAAAAAAUAUAUUACCUAAAAAUGCAAAAGAUAAUAAAGAACGAUCGUCGUUUAAACAAUUGGAAAAAAAUGAUACCAAUAAAUCAAAUGAAAAAAAAACGAAUACUGAUACAAUCGUAAGUGAAGGAAAUGAAACAAAUGAUAAAAAAGUUGAAGUAGUUGAUGAAGUAGUUGGUGAAGUAGUUGGUAAAGUAGUUGAUGAUAAAGAACAAAAGGAAAUAAAUACAGAUAAUAAAAAUGAAGAUUCAAAAAAAAAAAAAACGGGAAAUGAUAUCGAAAAAAAUUAG